AUUGAACGCUGGCGGCAGGCCUAACACAUGCAAGUCGAGCGAGCGGCGGACGGGUGAGUAAUGUCUGGGAAACUGCCUGAUGGAGGGGGAUAACUACUGGAAACGGUAGCUAAUACCGCAUACCAUCAGAUGUGCCCAGAUGGGAUUGGCUAGUAGGUGGGGUAACGGCUCACCUAGGCGACGAUCCCUAGCUGGUCUGAGAGGAUGACCAGCAAACUGGGAACGGGGAAACGGUCCAGAUGCCUACGGGGGGAAGCAUAGGGGAAUAUUGGAAAAGGGGCGCAAGCCUGAUGCAGCCAUGCCGCGUGUGGGAAGAAGGCCUUCGGGUUGAAAAGCACUGUCAGCGGGGAGGCGUUACCCGCAGAAGAAGCACCGGCUAACUCCGUGCCAGCAGCCGCGGUAAUAC
rnacentral:rRNA from 1 species